GCCGUCGUAGUACAAUGGUAGUACAUUGCUUUCCUAGCUCAAUGACCUCCAAGGCAAAGGUUGUGGGUUCGAGCCCCAUCGUCGGUU